CUUACAGUGAAAUGCUGAAUACAACAGGUGUAGUAGACCUUACAGUGAAAUGCUGAAUACAACAGGUGUAGUAGACCUUACAGUGAAAUGCUGAAUACAACAGGUGUAGUAGACCUUACAGUGAAAUGCUGAAUACAACAGGUGUAGUAGACCUUACAGUGAAAUGCUGAAUACAGCAGGUGUAGUAGACCUCACAGUGAAAUGCUGAAUACAACAGGUGUAGUAGACCUUACAGUGAAAUGCUGAAUACAACAGGUGUAGUAGACCUUACAGUGAAAUGCUGAAUACAGCAGGUGUAGUAGACCUUACAGUGAAAUGCUGAAUACAACAGGUGUAGUAGACCUUACAGUGAAAUGCUGAAUACAACAGGUGUAGUAGACCUUACAGUGAAAUGCUGAAUACAACAGGUGUAGUAGACCUUACAGUGAAAUGCUGAAUACAACAGGUGUAGUAGACCUUACAGUGAAAUGCUGAAUACAACAGGUGUAGUAGACCUUACAGUGAAAUGCUGAAUACAACAGGUGUAGUAGACCUUACAGUGAAAUGCUGAAUACAACAGGUGUAGUAGACCUUACAGUGAAAUGCUGAAUACAACAGGUGUAGUAGACCUUACAGUGAAAUGCUGAAUACAGGUGUAGUAGACCUUACAGUGAAAUGCUGAAUACAACAAGUGUAGUAGACCUUACAGUGAAAUGCUGAAUACAACAGGUGUAGUAGACCUUACAGUGAAAUGCUGAAUACAACAGGUGUAGUAGACCUUACAGUGAAAUGCUGAAUACAGGUGUAGUAGACCUUACAGUGAAAUGCUGAAUACAACAGGUGUAGUAGACCUUACAGUGAAAUGCUGAAUACAACAGGUGUAGUAGACCUUACAGUGAAAUGCUGAAUACAGCAGGUGUAGUAGACCUCACAGUGAAAUGCUGAAUACAACAGGUGUAGUAGACCUCACAGUGAAAUGCUGAAUACAACAGGUGUAGUAGACCUUACAGUGAAAUGCUGAAUACACAGGUGUAGUAGACCUUACAGUGAAAUGCUGAAUACAACAGGUGUAGUAGACCUUACAGUGAAAUGCUGAAUACAACAGGUGUAGUAGACCUUACAGUGAAAUGCUGAAUACAACAGGUGUAGUAGACCUUACAGUGAAAUGCUGAAUACAACAGGUGUAGUAGACCUCACAGUGAAAUGCUGAAUACAACAGGUGUAGUAGACCUUACAGUGAAAUGCUGAAUACAGCAGGUGUAGUAGACCUCACAGUGAAAUGCUGAAUACAGCAGGUGUAGUAGACCUUACAGUGAAAUGCUGAAUACAGCAGGUGUAGUAGACCUUACAGUGAAAUGCUGAAUACAGCAGGUGUAGUAGACCUUACAGUGAAAUGCUGAAUACAACAGGUGUAGUAGACCUUACAGUGAAAUGCUGAAUACAACAGGUGUAGUAGACCUCACAGUGAAAUGCUGAAUACAGCAGGUGUAGUAGACCUUACAGUGAAAUGCUGAAUACAACAGGUGUAGUAGACCUUACAGUGAAAUGCUGAAUACAACAGGUGUAGUAGACCUUACAGUGAAAUGCUGAAUACAACAGGUGUAGUAGACCUUACAGUGAAAUGCUGAAUACAACAGGUGUAGUAGACCUUACAGUGAAAUGCUGAAUACAGCAGGUGUAGUAGACCUUACAGUGAAAUGCUGAAUACAACAGGUGUAGUAGACCUCACAGUGAAAUGCUGAAUACAACAGGUGUAGUAGACCUUACAGUGAAAUGCUGAAUACAACAGGUGUAGUAGACCUUACAGUGAAAUGCUGAAUACAAUAGGUGUAGUAGACCUUACAGUGAAAUGCUGAAUACAACAGGUGUAGUAGACCUCACAGUGAAAUGCUGAAUACAACAGGUGUAGUAGACCUCACAGUGAAAUGCUGAAUACAACAGGUGUAGUAGACCUUACAGUGAAAUGCUGAAUACAACAGGUGUAGUAGACCUCACAGUGAAAUGCUGAAUACAGCAGGUGUAGUAGACCUUACAGUGAAAUGCUGAAUACAACAGGUGUAGUAGACCUUACAGUGAAAUGCUGAAUACAACAGGUGUAGUAGACCUUACAGUGAAAUGCUGAAUACAACAGGUGUAGUAGACCUUACAGUGAAAUGCUGAAUACAGCAGGUGUAGUAGACCUUACAGUGAAAUGCUGAAUACAACAGGUGUAGUAGACCUCACAGUGAAAUGCUGAAUACAACAGGUGUAGUAGACCUCACAGUGAAAUGCUGAAUACAGCAGGUGUAGUAGACCUCACAGUGAAAUGCUGAAUACAACAGGUGUAGUAGACCUUACAGUGAA